rnacentral:rRNA from 1 species
GAUGAACGCUGGCGGCGUGCCUAACACAUGCAAGUCGAGCGAUUUACUUCGGUAAAGAGCGGCGGACGGGUGAGUAACGCGUGGGUAACCUGCCCUGUACACACGGAUAACAUACCGAAAGGUAUGCUAAUACGAGAUAAUAUACUUUUAUCGCAUGGUAGAAGUAUCAAAGCUCUGGCGGUACAGGAUGGACCCGCGUCUGAUUAGCUAGUUGGUAUGGUAACGGCUUACCAAGGCGACGAUCAGUAGCCGACCUGAGAGGGUGAUCGGCCACAUUGGAACUGAGACACGGUCCAAACUCCUACGGGAGGCAGCAGUGGGGAAUAUUGCACAAUGGGCGAAAGCCUGAUGCAGCAACGCCGCGUGAGCGAUGAAGGCCUUCGGGUCGUAAAGCUCUGUCCUCAAGGAAGAUAAUGACGGUACUUGAGGAGGAAGCCCCGGCUAACUACGUGCCAGCAGCCGCCGUAG